rnacentral:rRNA from 1 species
AGAGGUGCCCGUACCGCAAACCGACACAGGUAGGCGAGGAGAGAAUCCUAAGGUGAUCGAGAGAACUCUCGUUAAGGAACUCGGCAAAAUGACCCCGUAACUUCGGGAGAAGGGGUGCUCUGUUAGGGUGCAAGCCCGAGAGAGCCGCAGUGAAUAGGCCCAGGCGACUGUUUAGCAAAAACACAGGGCUCUGCGAAGCCGUAAGGCGAAGUAUAGGGGCUGACGCCUGCCCGGUGCUGGAAGGUUAAGAGGAGCGCUUAGCGUAAGCGAAGGUGCGAAUUGAAGCCCCAGUAAACGGCGGCCGUAACUAUAAC